rnacentral:lncRNA from 1 species
CAGUGUUAAAAAGGAAAAAAAGAACCCAAUAAUUUAUUGAUCCUGUCUAUUUGCACUGGUCAUGAUGUUAGGAGUAAUCUCAUAUGUUAUCCCAUUUAAUUUCUACCACAAGUCUUAUGCCAUUCAGUCCCAUACCUGCUCAAACCUUUGUCAGUAAUACUGCGUUAUCAAACACAAGCUUGCAUAACCUUUAUGACGUGGGAGUCAUCACAUCUGGGCAUAGCUCUGCCGCCUGCCAAAUUGUGCUAGAAAAUUCUCCCUUAUAUAAGUUGCACUCUAUCUCCCUAUCAUGCUCCCACACUGGUCCAGUUCAUGUCCUCUGAGCUACCCCGAGUAAGUCUAAUCUCCUGCUCACGUGACAGCUUUUCAGAUGUCUAAAGACAGCCCUUAUUUCUUUUUUCUCUAGGCUAAGCUGGCUUGUUGAUCAUGUAGCUAGAAAUGGGACAGCAAAUGAAAGAAUAUUUGAGCUUAAGAGGCCCUUAGAGGUCACCUUGUCUGGAUACUUCCUUUUACUGCUAGGCAAUAUGGCUUUAUAGUCAGGAUCCUGGACCUCAAGUUUCUGGGCCUCAGUCUCCUUAUCCCUAAAAUAAAGAUAAUAGUGAUACUGACAUAACAGAGGUGUUGUGAAGAUUGAAUGAGAUGAUGCAAGGGAAGCUCUUAGAAGAGCACUGGGCACACAGUAAACAGCCAAUAAAUAUUAGCUGUAAUCAUUGGAGGCCCAGGGGAGAAGGGACUUGCUCAAGAUCACACAGCAACUCAGAGGCAGAGCUGGGGUUAGACCAAGGACGCCUGCCUCCCAGCCUGGGCCCUUUCCCAUUCCACUCUUCCCUCUGUCUUCCUCAGAAAAAGAAAAUAGUCCCAGAGGGAACCAGGAUACUUUUCUCACUGAAUCAUUUAGGAUGCAAGGAAGAGGUCACCUGCUUUAGAGUGGCUUAAACUUUUUAUUUUUUAAUGAGGCCAGAAGAAGUUGGAAUGAGGAUUGGUCUGCUGAUUCAACAAUGUCUUUGAUGACCCAGGCAUUUCCCAUUCUGAGCCUCGAGGGUGACUACCCCUGUGAUUGCAAGAUGACUGAGUGCCAUCAGGAACCAUGUCCUCCCAAGCAGGGAGAAAGGGCAUGGUAGCAAAAAGGGUAUUCUCCCUUCACAUCAUUCUCUUAUCCAGGAGAGAAGCUUUCCCAGCAGACUAUCCCCAAACAUGUCAUUGACUAAGACGAGGUCACAUGUCUACUCUUGGACCACUUUCUGGCAAAGGGGAAGGCAUUUCCAUUGCUGCCUUGGAUCAUCCCUGUGGCUGAGCACCUUGCUACCAGAAUGAAGAAGAGAGCAUUUGCCAUGGGAAGGCAACCAAUACAACCUGCCAUACUCAUCUUCUGUUUUCUCUCUGGAUUGCCCUCCUACCUCCUCUCCAUCUCCGCCAGGAAGUCUUCCCUGGUUGCCAGGGCCUUGUCCGGCACACCCUCUUCUAAUGUAAUUGAACAUUGUUUAAUUCAAGUUACAUUUCACUUUGCCAAAGAUUUCUCACCUUAUCAUGUCCAGAUCUUAUCUUCUCAACCAGGCUGUGAUAGGUCAUUGCAAGAGUUAUAGCAGCGACUAAUGAAUAAGUACCUACUGUGUGUCAGGCACUGGUCUGAGUGCUUGUUGUAGCCAGCUUCCAAAUGGCUCCCAAUGAUCCAUACCCCCUGGUAUUCAUGCCUUUUUGUAUUCCCCUCCCACAUUAUACCAGGGUUUGUCUACAUGACCAAGAGAAUAUGGCAAAAGUUACGGUAUGUUUCUUCCAAUAUUAGAUCAUAAAAGGCACAUGGAAUCAAAGCUUUUGGUCAACUGCCAACAAGGUACAGAGGCCCAACAGCAAUCAUCGAAUGAACUUGGAAGUGGAUCCUCUCACCCCAGUUGAGCCUUCUGAUGACUGCAGCCCUGGCUGAUGCUUGACUACAACUUCAUCAGAAAUCCUCAUGAAGAUCCAGCACCUUCCAGUUAGCCCAUCUAUGAGAAAACCAAUGCUCCGAUGAGUGCAGUGACUUCCCAUGCCUGUGGAGAGUCUAUGCCUUUGAUUGGAUCCCCAGAGGUGGUUUUCACUUGCCCCCCAUUGCCUAUACCAUGUUGCCUUCCUGGAGUUGGUGGCCUUUGAGCUGGGCCUGGAAGAUUGGGUAGGACUUUAUGAAGUGGGGAUGGAGAGACAAGCUGUGCGAUGGGGAUGAAGAAGAUAACCCAGGUCAGAGGGAACAGCAUAAGCAAAGGUAUGUGAAGGGGAAAGAAUUCAACACCUCCAGGCAAUGGUGAGGAUGUCGCUGAGUUCUCUUUCACUUAUCUGCAUGUCAGUCAUGACCCCUGGAUGCCAGCUCCUGAUGGGUCAUCUGCCUACCCUAGAACUUCCCAGCAUCUAGCAUCCCAGACCUUCCCAGAGUCUACAAGAAAAGAAACCUAGGCAUCAGGAUGUCAGUUCUGGUCUGAGUCCUGUCCUCUGCUGACUUUACACCAGCACAAUCUAGCAGGGAGACUUAAUGUCUUCUCCUCCCAGCUUCCUGGUACAGUGUAAGAAAGUAAGCUUGCAGAUGCAAAUGCUUGUGGCUCUUCAUUGACCAGAGGCUAUAUUAGGGGAGAGGACUUCCCUGGGACCCCCACAGGGCCUGGAAAACCCCUCUGGCCCUGACUUGCUCCACCCCUUGGCUCUUGACCCAUUUCUCUCUUGGGUAACUCCUGAGUCUCCUCACCAUGUCCAGUUUGGAAGACUUUAGGCACAAGGACCUCGUCUUUUCCUUCAGAUCUUGGCUCAACCAAGAGGCGGACUCACCGUGAUGUGAAUGCAGCUUGAGCAUCCAGGACUCUCCCCAGAUCCAGGGAGGGCCUCAGCGAUGUGUUCACGUUGUCAUAUUUUUAUAAAAUUUGCAAAGGUAAGAUACUUUAACCACAAUCAAAAUUACUAUUUUCUUCCCACUCCAACUUCCCUUGUGUUUCAAUUUUCCUUUAUGUGGGAUAAUUGGAGUGGCCAUGGGCACUUCUGGGAUCUGACCAAGGGGAAGCUGAGUGGGGGACUGAUUUGAGUUGGGUUCACUGGGAUAUGUUUAUGUGGUUUUCUGAAACAGAGGAUAUAUUAAUAUUUAUGUGGUUCUCUGUGUAUAGAUAAAUCAUUGCUAGUAAUCUCUGUGUAGAGAAUAGCUUCUAGGAAUUCUACCCACUGCCCAGCUCACUUGGCAUGGUGAUAUUAAGUUGCCAUAUGCAGAGGUCAUAUCGUGAUAUGAAUGUGUGUCAUGGCACCCAGCCCAGGAAGUAUAUGGGCAGUAGACAAGAAACAGGAGAAACCAGGUUUGAAAUGUACAGAGCCAGAAGCUAGUCUGUGGAAAAUUCUUCUAAUCAUCAGGGGGAGAAAAUGUGUCUCAGAGGUUAAGCAGGGCAGUUAAUAAAAGUAUUACGCAUUUUGGGGGGAUUGUGUGAUGUAUCUGUUUUGAUUUCUUUUCUCAUUAUAGGUAAAUAUAGGUACCUUGUACCUAAUUUUAUAUUCAUAAUUUUGUAUAUUUUUCUUAAAGAGGGCUCCUCAAAUUAUAAAACCUUCAGUUCCCACAAGGUCUACACAUCCAACCUUGGCUCCAUCAUUUAUUUUCUGUGUGAUCUUGGGGAAGUCACUUGUGCUUUCUGAGCCAGUUUCCUCUUCUAUAAAAUGUGAAUGACAAUUUGGACAGGUGAGGAUUCAGAAAUCCUCAUGACCUUAUUCCAUUUUUGAAACCAUUAGUAGACGAAGACACUCAAACAAAAAUUAGACCAGAAUAUAAAGAUUGGAAAAGAUGUAAUAUACAAGCAAUAAUGGUGAGCAAUGAAUCCAGUAAAACCUAAAUCUAAGUUAAUGGAAAUGAUGUGGUUGUUGCAAACCUCUAAUGCAGUUUAUGAAGAAAGAAUUUUUGUAAUAGAAGAGACAUUAUGCAAGAACAAAUUUAAUAAUAAGCUGUAUCUAUAAUUCCAGACUUUUUUUCCCUGCAAAACCUGGGAAACAAGAGGGAUGAAGGAAUAUAAACAUCCUAAAAGCCUCAUAUUGUUGAAGGAGACUUUGAAAUUCUUGGCGUUGAUAGAUACAUGCUCAGAUAUUUAUUAAACAUUUACAGAUACCAACCAGCAAAAUAAAAAG